ensembl:lncRNA
GUUUUAUUCUUAUUCCUUAAUAGAGAGAAUUCAUUCUAGAUCGCUAACUUGUUUUCUCCAUUUCUCUCUUUACUGUUUUUACCUAUAAAAAAUAAACUUAACUUAUAAAGAUUUUUUUUAGCAGAUCAGUCUCUCUGUGACAGAAGCACACAACACUUGACAAUUUUUGCUUAUUACACAAACCAGAAUAUCCUAUAGAUUUCAUCUUCUUGCUAACAUAACUGGAUUAGCAAUCAGAAACAAAUGCAAUUAGAUGACAAUUGUAUGGAAUAGGAAAAAUGUAAUUAAAUAGUAAAGAGCAAACAAAGAUGUUUUUAUUCCAUGAGAAAAAUAAAUUUCAGGCCUUGAAAUAAAAUAUUCUAUACAAGCGAAGAAUAAGAUUAAAAAGGUAUUUAGAUACACAUGAGGCCUGGUGCCAUGAAACAGUGAUAUUGAAUAAGUGUUAAUAUUAUUUUUGGCAGUAAAUAACUUAAAAAUAUUCAGAAUAAAAUGCAUCAGGAUAUUAAGAUUAACAGAAGGCAGAGUUUCCAGAGCCUCGUUUACAUGACUAUAUAUAUAUUUCUUUUUUUCUUAAAGCUUAGAAGUGGUUUUAAAACAGAUUACAACAUUUGCAUGAAUGAGUACCAAAUGAACAAUGAAUUUGUGAAGAAAAUGAGCCCUCCACCCAGUCUAGUAAUUUUAUGGUUCAAAAGUCAUAUCAGAUUAUUUUUAAGCCUUUAUUUCAUUGUGGGUAUAAAUUUGAAGUAUUAUCUCAAAUGUGAAGAAGCAUGAAACAGCUCAUUGUGGAGUUCAAGCAAAUAGAAACAACUACUGCGGCUAUUUCUAUACUAAGCUCAUCCCUAAAUUCAAUUGCGAUUUUAAUUAUUUUGAGAUAGUUUGGGCUUGGGAGACGUCCUUAAGGGUUAGUUGUUAUAUAAUGAAAAAUAUUGGGCAAAAUUAUUUGAACAGACUGUUAAGAUGACAAGGUAAACAAAUGAACAGCUUUCCUAUCCAGUUAUUUCUUUUCCUUUAUUCAUCAACAAAUCUCAGAAGAAACUAUGUUCCAGGAGCACAUUGUUCUCAUGCUUUGGAUACAAAGUUAAAAUUGAUAUAACCCUUUUUCAGGAGAAGUUCACUGUUGGCUAGGGAAGAGAAACACAAAAACAGAUCAUUGUAAGGCAACGUUCGAAGUGUUAAUAAAGAAGGAUGAGAAUUGUUUGCCGUUGGGAAUGAUUACCUUUGAAUAGACAAGUCUAGAAAGUCUUCAUGGAGAAGUCCUGGGUCCUGAAGAAAGAGUAAGAGAUUAUCAGGAAAAGAAAAGAGGAAAGCAGGAUGUCUUCUGUGGUUACUUUUUAAAUCUAAAUAUUUUAAACGAUUGAAUAAUCUGAGGGAGCAUGCUGGGAGUCAGCCAGAAAACAGUCUGAAUGGACGCAAUUUGAGAAACAGUCGACCUUGGUUAACUGCUUUAUUGGGAUAGAGCCACAGACUGUAAAAUUCACUCUUUGAAAGCACACAGCAUUAUUCACAACAGCCAAAGGAUGCAAACAACCCAAAUCCAACUCAAGUGGUGAAUGGGAAGAUUAGCUCUGAGCUAACUACUGCCAAUCCUCCUCUUCGUGCUGAGGAAGACCAGCCCCGAGCUAAUAUCCGUGCCCAUCUUCCUCUACUUUAUAUGUGGGAUGCCUACCACAGCAUGGCUUUUGCCAAGCGGUGCCAUGUCUGCACCCAGGACCCGAACCAGCAAACCCAGGGCCGCCGAGAAGAGGAAUGUGCGAACUUAACUGCUGCACCACCGGGCCAGCCCCUAAAAUUUGAUUUUUAAACGAUGUGGUUUUUCUCUCUUCCUUUUGCCCAGAUCAUUCUCCUCACUAUUCAAGGAGCAGGAAGACAUUUUUAUACACACACACACACACGCACACAUGCAUAAAAGGAAUUGAAUUAUUUGGAUUUUGAGCUCUUGAGUAGGCUUUUGUAAAUCUAUGGCAGAGACAAUAAUCUUCAAAGUCAUGGUUUUCAACUUCCUAAACCUGAUGCUUAAGAGAGAAAAGGAUAAAAAUCUGGCUUUAAAAAAUAAAGGCAAAGAUGGAGAACUCAGAGCAUAGAAUUUCACCAUAAAAUAUUUCAGUCAAUUUGGGAUCGAUGAAGGUUAAUGUAAAAGCUAUUUUUCCACUCAAAGAGAAUAAAAGUUUGAGUAGCAGAGAAGGGAGGAGAUGUGACUAGACCUUAGAUACUGCCUGAGUCCUUGGGAAGGUUCUCAAAACAAUACCUCUGGGGGUUGGGUAAGAGGAGGCCUAGGGAAAGAAACCUCUGAGAGGGCUGAGAUUCCUGAACCCAGAAGAUGCAAGCCUCAUAAAGAAGCAAGAGUCCAGUGUAGGGCCUAAGAGGUAGCUCAACGGGAGAAUGUGCCUAAGGGCAGCCAUCCUCACCUUAACCCUACCCUCUCUGUGUAGACUGGAAAAAAUUAGUGAGAGGGGCUGAGUACUCAAAGGUGUGGGACAAGGAAGUGCUGAGUUUGGGUCAAUGUUCUAAAAAGGGCCUGGAGUUAGCAUAAGAGGAUGUAGAAUGUGUGGAUGGCCCCAUCCAAGGUCAUGUCCCCUUCUCAGGACAACCCGUAUCCAAUGGCUGAUCAAUAUGGAGACAAAAAGACCCAGCCCUCUUACUCAAACUUGGGACAAUUCUGAUGGGUCAUCCCAGCUUCAGAUGGGGACACAUUGGCAGCUAAGGCCUCUGUUGAGACCACAUCACAAUUUAACUUCUUCCUCUGUUCAGUCCUCCUUCCUUCCCUUCUUCUUCAUCGAUGUGCCACCCAAGAGGGCUCCCUA